ensembl:miRNA MIR487B microRNA 487b
UUGGUACUUGGAGAGUGGUUAUCCCUGUCCUGUUCGUUUUACUCAUGUCGAAUCGUACAGGGUCAUCCACUUUUUCAGUAUCAA